rnacentral:rRNA from 1 species
GUUGAUAAGGUUAAGUGAAUAAGGGCGCACGGUGGAUGCCUUGGCACUAGGAGCCGAUGAAGGACGGGACUAACACCGAUAUGCUUUGGGGAGCUGUACGUAAGCUAUGAUCCAGAGAUUUCCGAAUGGGGGAACCCAGCAUCUUUAAUAGGAUGUUACGAUUGUGUGAAUACAUAGCACAUUCGAGGUAGACGCAGAGAACUGAAACAUCUAAGUACCUGCAGGAAGAGAAAGAAAAUUCGAUUCCCUGAGUAGCGGCGAGCGAAACGGGAAAAGCCCAAACCAACAAGCUUGCUUGUUGGGGUUGUAGGACUCCAAUAUGGUCGUUCUUUCAGAUAGUCGAAUGACUUGGAAAAGUCAGUCAAAGAGGGUAAAAACCCCGUAGACGAAAUGUGGAAGACACCUAGGAGGAUCCUGAGUACGGCGGAACACGAGAAAUUCCGUCGGAAUCCGGGAGGACCAUCUCCCAAGGCUAAAUACUCCCUAGUGACCGAUAGUGAACCAGUACCGUGAGGGAAAGGUGAAAAGCACCCCGGAAGGGGAGUGAAAUAGAACCUGAAACCGUGUGCCUACAACAAGUCAAAGCCCGUUAAUGGGUGAUGGCGUGCCUUUUGUAGAAUGAACCGGCGAGUUACGAUUGCAUGCGAGGUUAAGUUGAAGAGACGGAGCCGCAGCGAAAGCGAGUCUGAAUAGGGCGUUUGAGUAUGUAGUCGUAGACCCGAAACCAUGUGAUCUACCCAUGUCCAGGUUGAAGGUGCGGUAAAACGCACUGGAGGACCGAACCCACGUACGUUGAAAAGUGCGGGGAUGAGGUGUGGGUAGCGGAGAAAUUCCAAACGAACUUGGAGAUAGCUGGUUCUCUCCGAAAUAGCUUUAGGGCUAGCCUCGGAAUUGAGAAUGAUGGAGGUAGAGCACUGUUUGGACUAGGGGCCCAUCUCGGGUUACCGAAUUCAGAUAAACUCCGAAUGCCAUUCAUUCAUAUCCGGGAGUCAGACUGUGAGUGAU